UAUGGUUCCCCCUGGGCUACACUGAUCUCUUCCUUUUGUGAGGUAUAAAUUCAGUUUUGGCUAAAGCUGUUGUUACUUCUCAAAUUCAGACCGAAUUAGCAAUGUAACAUGAAAGCAGAAAUUUCACAAGGAAAGAUACAAAAAUGGCUCUCAGACAUAAAAACGAGUUCAAAUUUACUCAUAAUUAGAUAACUAUUAGGAAAACACUGAGAUAUGCAAUUAUGUUUCUACAUACUAAAAACGAAUAAAUGGUUUUUAAAACCGCUAGAAUGAACCUUGGUGAUAUAUCCAAAUCAGGGGUGCCAAUGCAAAUCAUGUUUUUAAUAGGUAGAAGAUAGAUAGAUAGAUAGACAGACAGACAGAUAGAUAGAAGAUAGAUGUAUAUGUGUGUACAAUAAUUAGUAUAACAUGUAUAUUUCCUAGCUUUCUGUACCGAAGGGGAUUAAGAGCAAUGAUACCCCAGUGGCAAUAAGCACACCUGUGAGACUUUAGUGCAGAAGGACAUUCAGCAAAACUCCAUAAGAAUAUUCUCUCCAGGCACAGUGGCUCACACCUGUAAUCCCAACACUUUGGGAAGCCAAGAUGGGAGGAUCACCUGAGGUCAGGAGUUUGAGACCAGCCUGGCCAACAUAGUGAAGCCCCAUCUCUACUAAAAAUACAAAAAUUAGCUGGGCAUGGUGGCUCAUGCCUGUAAUCCCAGCUACUGGGGAGGCUGAGAAGGAGAAUGGCUGGAACCCAGGAGGUAGAGGCUGCAAUGAGCUGAGAUCGUGCCGCUGCACUCCAGCCUGGGUGACAGAGUGAGACUCUGUCUCAAAUAUAUAUAUAAUUCUCUAUUAUGCAGGAUAAAAAUAUUUGAAGCAGACAUACUGACAACCAGAUUUGGGAAUAAAACAUUCAAACUGUAUCUUCUAAGUAAAUAUUUAAAUUAUCCAUGAGUUUCACACACAGAAAAGGAAAUUAAGGAAAUGCAAAUCUUAAAUAUGUUUUCUUUAAUUAUUAAUGGGCUUAUUAACCCUAAAAUAUACCUCCCAAACAUUGAUUUACACAAGAAAUUUCAGGCAGCAUCCUCCCUCUUUUCGAUUACAGUAAAUUCCUCAGGGAGUUCUGGGAGGUUUAUACUCCUGUCCCACCACGCCACAAGCAAAAUCUAAGACAAAUUUUGUCUGAAAGCUUUUAUGGAAAGUCAUAAACAUCAGCUGGCAGGUCCUCAUUUUUGUCCUCGAACCAGCUUGCCACAAAAUGUGAUAUCAGAAUUUAGGAAUAUUUGAAAAUGAGGAGGACAUAGCUCCCGGCCACAGAAAGCCCUUAGGCUGGUGGAGACAGCAGAUCUAAUCAGAAAUUAAUUAGACACCUUAGGACAAACCACCAGUGACAGAAGAGCAGACCAAGAGUGGGGAUCAGCAAGGGAGCAAGAACUUCUCUGAGAAGGCACAGCCAGUCAUGCAGGGCCACAGCAUGGCCACAGCAGUUAAUUAGGUGUGGGUGGCAAGGUGCUUACUCCUUUUAUCUUUUUAUUUUGAGAUAACUAUAGAUCUGCAGGAAGUUGAAAAAAUAAUAGAGAGGUCUCUGUGUGCCUUCACCGAGCUCCCCCAUGGCGCUUACAUCUUACGAAGCUAUGGUACAGUAUCAACAUCAGGAAACUGGCAUUGGCCCAAUGUGUGUGCAUAGUGCUAUGCCAUUUUAUCACGUGUAGACU
rnacentral:lncRNA from 1 species